AUUGAACGCUGGCGGCAUGCUUUACACAUGCAAGUCGAACGGCAGCGCGGGCUUCGGCCUGGCGGCGAGUGGCGAACGGGUGAGUAAUGCAUCGGAACGUGCCCAGUAGUGGGGGAUAGCCCGGCGAAAGCCGGAUUAAUACCGCAUACGACCUGAGGGUGAAAGCGGGGGACCGAAAGGCCUCGCGCUAUUGGAGCGGCCGAUGUCGGAUUAGCUAGUUGGUGGGGUAAAGGCUUACCAAGGCGACGAUCCGUAGCUGGUCUGAGAGGACGACCAGCCACACUGGGACUGAGACACGGCCCAGACUCCUACGGGAGGCAGCAGUGGGGAAUUUUGGACAAUGGGGGCAACCCUGAUCCAGCCAUGCCGCGUGCGGGAAGAAGGCCUUCGGGUUGUAAACCGCUUUUGUUCGGGAAGAAAUCCCCUGGGCUAAUACCCCGGGGGGAUGACGGUACCGGAAGAAUAAGCACCGGCUAACUACGUG
rnacentral:rRNA from 1 species